AGUUUGUUCUUGGUAUGAGCUUUCGUGUGCAUAUCUGAAGAAGUGUGCAUGCACAUGAAAGCUCAUACCAAGAACAAACU